rnacentral:lncRNA from 13 species
GUGACUAUGUGUGUCAUCAGUGAAGGAGGAUCAUUCGGGAAGCAUCAUCAAACACCACCUACCGAGUGCCAGGACCUGGGCGACUGGAAGCCUCGCCACAGGGAAGGAAAGUUUUUGGCUAUGAUAGGAAGACAGAGGAGAAAAUCAUCUGGACCCAGGAGUUGAGGAUGAGAUCACAGGCAUGGCACCAGCUCUGCCCCCCACACCACAUACUGGCAGCAGCUCCGGACCUGCACGCCUGGAGGAGAAAGGACUGGGAUUCUCCCACUUUUGACCAAAGAAAUCAGAGGGAAGAACUCCGCCUAAUCCAGCUGGGGUCCUGAGGUCAAUGGAGCCCCAGGGGAAGGGUGACAAUACUGCAAGGGCCCCCUCUAUAGACAUGUGAAUGGGGUGGAACAGUUCCCAAGAAGAGGAGGAGAAGGAGCAACUACAGUCAACUACAGGGUCUAUAAAAGGUUGGGAGAGGGAGUGAGGAGAGCUUCCCUUCAUGCUUCCCUGAUUAUCAGAAUCCAUUGAGAGUUUCAAAUCCCACUUUCUAGCAAUCUUGCAAUGUUGAUGGCAAAUAGUAAUGUUUCCACUAUGGAAACACUCCUGAAAUCCUGCCUUCUUCCAAGAAAGCCUCACAUGUUG